rnacentral:piRNA from 1 species
UGCAAUGGUGCGAUCUCGGCUCACUGCA